GAGUUUGAUCGUGGCUCAGGAUGAACGCUGGCGGCGUGCUUAACACAUGCAAGUCGAACGAAGCGCCUUAUUUGAUUUUCUUCGGAACUGAAGAUUUGGUGACUGAGUGGCGGACGGGUGAGUAACGCGUGGGUAACCUGCCCUGUACAGGGCGAUAACAAUCAGAAAUGACUGCUAAUACCGCAUAAGACCACAGCACCGCAUGGUGCAGGGGUAAAAACUCCGGUGGUACAGGAUGGACCCGCGUCUGAUUAGCUGGUUGGUGAGGUAACGGCUCACCAAGGCGACGAUCAGUAGCCGGCUUGAGAGAGUGAACGGCCACAUUGGGACUGAGACACGGCCCAAACUCCUACGGGAGGCAGCAGUGGGGAAUAUUGCACAAUGGGGGAAACCCUGAUGCAGCAACGCCGCGUGAGUGAAGAAGUAUUUCGGUAUGUAAAGCUCUAUCAGCAGGGAAGAAAGUGACGGUACCUGACUAAGAAGCCCCGGCUAACUACGUGCCAGCAGCCGCAACG
rnacentral:rRNA from 1 species